AGCGAACGCUGGCGGCAGGCCUAACACAUGCAAGUCGAACGGACCCUUCGGGGUUAGUGGCGGACGGGUGAGUAACACGUGGGAACGUGCCUUUAGGUUCGGAAUAGCUCCUGGAAACGGGUGGUAAUGCCGAAUGUGCCCUUCGGGGGAAAGAUUUAUCGCCUUUAGAGCGGCCCGCGUCUGAUUAGCUAGUUGGUGGUGUAACGGACCAGCAAGGCGACGAUCAGUAGCUGGUCUGAGAGGAUGAUCAGCCACAUUGGGACUGAGACACGGCCCAAACUCAUACGGGAGGCGUCGAUGGGGAAUCUUGCGCAAUGGGCGAAAGCCUGACGCAGCCAUGCCACGAGAAUGAUGAAGGUCUUAGGAUUGUAAAAUUCUUUCACCGGGGACGAUAAUGACGGUACCCGGAGAGGAAGCCCCGGCUAACUUCGUGCCAGCCGCCGCCGUAACAC
rnacentral:rRNA from 1 species